UCCGUAGGGACCAAGCGUUGUUCGGAUUUACUGGGCGUAAAGGGCGCGUAGGCGGCGUGUUAAGUCAGCUGUGAAAUCUCCAAGCUUAACUUGGAACGGUCAGCUGAUACUGAUGUGCUAGAGUGCAGAAGGGGCAGUCGGAAUUCUUGGUGUAGCGGUGAAAUGCGUAGAUAUCAAGAGGAACACCUGAGGUGAAGACGGGUUGCUGGGCUGACACUGACGCUGAGGCGCGAAAGCUAGGGUAGCAAACGGG
rnacentral:rRNA from 1 species